rfam:Oryza nivara chromosome 9, whole genome shotgun sequence.
AAUAAGUGCAAACAUAAGUUUCCGUGUCCAACUUUUGAUCGUCCAUCUUAUUUAAAAAAUUUUUAUGAUUAGUAUUUUUAUUGUUAUUAGAUUAUAAAACAUGAAUAUUACUUUAUGCGUGACUUAUUUUUUUAGUUUUCUCAAAAAAAAUUUAAAUAAAACGAACGAUUGAAGUUGGGCACGGAAACUCAUGGCUGCGCUUAUU